rnacentral:rRNA from 1 species
UUUAAAGAGACUGCCGGUGUUAAGCGAGAAGUGGGGAUGACGUCAAGUCCUCAUGGCCUUAUGCCAGGGCUACACACGUGCUACAAUGGGCGGUACAAAGAGAAGCAACCUCGCGAGGGUGAGCAAAUCUCAAAAAGCCGUUCUCAGUUCGGAUUGAAGUCUGCAACUCGACUUCAUGAAGUCGGAAUCGCUAGUAAUCGCGGAUCAGCAUGCCGCGGUGAAUACGUUCCCGGGCCUU